GGGAGCGAGACGGCCCUGAGUGGAAGUGUCUGGCUCCCCGUAGAGGCCCUACUGUACGCCCCGCUGCCCAUGAGCUCGUUCUCACGCGAACAGCGCCGUCGUUAGGCUGGCCCUGUAGCUUCGGCUUACCCCGGGACAGGCCCACGCCUCGCCGGGGAGGGGGCAGCCCGUCGAGGCGCCUCCCUAGUCAGCGUCGGCGUCGCGCUGCGACCCUGGAAGCGGGAGCCGCCGCGAGCGAGAGGAGGAGCUCCAGUGGCGGCGGCGGCGGCGGCGGCGGCAGCGGGCAGCAGCUCCAGCAACGCCAGCGGGCGGGAUCGAGGCCGUCAACAUGGCGAGCGCCUCUUACCACAUUUCCAAUUUGCUGGAAAAAAUGACAUCCAGCGACAAGGACUUUAGGUUUAUGGCUACAAAUGAUUUGAUGACGGAACUGCAGAAAGAUUCCAUCAAGUUGGAUGAUGAUAGUGAAAGGAAAGUAGUGAAAAUGAUUUUGAAGUUACUGGAAGAUAAAAAUGGAGAGGUACAGAAUUUAGCUGUCAAAUGGUAAGUUGUUUUUUUACUGGUUGAGUCUUUCUUCCUGCUCCCCCAACCCUGUUUUUAAAAACUCUAUGAUAAGUUGUAAAUUAUCUUAGCCUUGUACUAUCUCUUUCUGGUGUUUGUAUGUAGA
rnacentral:sRNA from 1 species